ACUCGGCCGCGCGUGGGCGGGAGCCGGAGCGGCGAAUGUAGCAAGAGCGGAAUCUCCCAAUGUGACAGCGCGGGUUUUCUUUUUAAAAGCGGAAGGAGAGUUUUACAUGGAAGUGGCUUACAGAAACUUGGCGCUGAGGUGCAGGGAAGCCAGAAACUCUUUGUGUCUCUAAGGCCGAUGAGGAAUUUGGAAACACAUGUGGGACAUACAAGCGUUGGAUAUAGAGGUUAAACCCAUCCAGAGUAAUGGCUGCGGCCUUACCCAGGACCCUGGGGGAGUUGCAGCUGUAUAGAAUAUUACAAAAAGCCAAUCUACUUUCUUAUUUUGAUGCCUUUAUCCAACAAGGUGGUGAUGAUGUCCAGCAACUCUGUGAAGCAGGAGAAGAGGAGUUUUUGGAAAUCAUGGCACUCGUGGGCAUGGCUAGCAAGCCCCUUCAUGUUAGAAGGCUGCAGAAGGCUUUGAGAGACUGGGUCACAAACCCUGGGCUUUUCAAUCAGCCACUGACUUCCCUUCCUGUCAGUAGCAUACCCAUCUAUAAAUUACCA
rnacentral:lncRNA from 1 species